rnacentral:rRNA from 1 species
UACGAAGGGGGCUAGCGUUGCUCGGAAUUACUGGGCGUAAAGCGCACGUAGGCGGAUUGUUAAGUCGGGGGUGAAAUCCUGGAGCUCAACUCCAGAACUGCCUUCGAUACUGGCGAUCUCGAGUUCGGGAGAGGUGAGUGGAACUGCGAGUGUAGAGGUGAAAUUCGUAGAUAUUCGCAAGAACGCCAGUGGCGAAGGCGGCUCACUGGCCCGAUACUGACGCUGAGGUGCGAAAGCGUGGGGAGCAAACAGG